rfam:Hordeum vulgare subsp. vulgare, WGS project CAJW01000000 data, contig: morex_contig_161951
CUACUACACCCUCCGUCCUAAAUUAUUUGAUGCAUAUUUGUCUAGAUAUGGAUGUAUCUACACAGCUUGUAUUUACAUCCAUAUCUAGACAAAUACGCAUCAGCUAAUUCGGGACAGAAGGAGUAUAUA